rnacentral:pre_miRNA from 4 species
CAAAGACAACCCACCAGCGAGGUAUAGAGUUCCUAUGUGCCCACUAGGCCGUUCGCUACUCAUAGGAACUUCAUACCGUGCUCUUGGAUUGCUCUCAGCU